GGAGAGGUGCCGGAGCGGUUGAACGGGACGGUUUCGAAAACCGUUGAGGGAUUAACUUCCCUCCGAGGGUUCGAAUCCCUCCCUCUCCG
rnacentral:tRNA from 1 species